CUAUGUGUGGUUGGUGUCAGGAAAGCCAAGGCCCAGAUUGAAUUAAAUUUGACCUAAACUUGGUCAAAGGAUGCCAAAAAGAACAAAAAAGGUUUCUAAAGGUAACCUGAACCAGAAGAGGAAAGUCCAGGAGGUCAUACCACCUGCAGUGAGUGACACAGACAAGCUGUGUCACAGAAAAGGAGAAGGCUGAGUCUUUUGCCUUGGUCUUCUCUGAUAACUGCUAGUCACACAAUCCUGAAAUAUUUGGUUUGGUAGGAAGGGAUUGGGAAGCAAUGUUCCUCCCACUGUAUGCGAAGAUCAGUUUUGUGACUACCUUAUGAACCUGCACAUCCACAAGUCCAUGGGUCCCUGUGAGAUGCAUCCCAGAAUCUUGAAGGAAUUGGCUGAUGUAGCUGCCAAGCCACUCUCAGUAAUAUUUUUUUUCAAAUAUCACUGAUAUUUGUAGUGGUAAUCAGGUGAAGUCCCUGGUGACAGGGAAAAAGGCAACAUCACACAUUUUUAAGAAGGCUAAAAAGGAUGACCCUGGGAACUACUGACCUGUCAGUCUAACCUCUGUACCAGGAAAGAUAAUAGAGCAGAUCAUCAUGGUUGGUAUGCUUAGGCACAUGGAAGGCAGGGAGGUGAUAUGGGAGAACCAGCAUGGCCUCACCAAGGGCAAAUCCUGCUUGACCAACCUAAUGGCCUUUUAUGAUGGUGCCACUGGAUAACCGAAGAGCUAUCUGGACUUCAGUAAGGCCUCUGACACAGUAUCCUACUACAUUGUUCAGUCCAAAUUGGAAAGAUAUGGAUUUUAUGGUUGGACAGUUCAGUUUUGGGUGAGGUACUCGGCCCUCGAGUGGGUGCAUUCCAUACCGAAGCAGGAACUUGCCUGAGCAGGUAAAGCAGCAGCUCUUCCAGCAUCUGCCGGCUGUUAUUGUCCUCCGCGUGGUAGUAGCAUUCUGACAUCACAGGGGUGGAGCCAGCAGUGGCAGGAUCACUCCCUGUGGGUAUGAAACUUGCCAGUAGGGGAUGGAGUGAACAGGACAGGCAAACAGAGUGAGAAGCAAUGAAAGGGCGGUGCAGAAGUUUGCGUGGGCAGUUCAUACAGGACGAGGGAACAGGGAGGGCAAGGAGAGCAGAGUAUCUCUGUCUACUCAGGAGACCGAUGUAACUACCAGCUGCUUCCCAGACAAUAAAUCUAGCCAUGGUCUCCACCAGGUAGAAAGCUCUGGCAAGAAAGAAUGUUGAGACUCAGAUGGAACACCUGCCUAAAAAUGUGGCAGUUCAAGUAUCUGGCUGCGAUUGACAGUGGGAUCGAGUGCAUCCUUAGCAAGUUGUGGGGAGCAGUCAACACACAAGACGGACAGGAUGCCAUCCAAACAGACUUAAACAGGCUUAAGAGAUCUCGGAACCUGUGCAGCAGAACUGGCUCAGCUGUACACUCAAAAAAAUAAAAGUCCUGUGUCUGUUUUGUUUUGAAUAGAA